UACGGGGGGGAGCAAGCGUUGUUCGGAUUUACUGGGCGUAAAGGGCGCGUAGGCGGCCAGCGCAAGUCAGUUGUGAAAUCUCCGGGCUUAACUCGGAACGGUCAACUGAUACUGCGCGGCUAGAGUACAGAAGGGGCAACUGGAAUUCUCGGUGUAGCGGUGAAAAUGCGUAGAUAUCGAGAGGAACACCUGCGGCGAAGGCGGGUUGCUGGGCUGAUACUGACGCUGAGGCGCGAAAGCUAGGGGAGCGAACGGG
rnacentral:rRNA from 1 species